rnacentral:lncRNA from 1 species
CCCAGCCCAAGAAGCGACCCAACCCGUUCCCAAAUAUCUGAUGCAAAGGGAUGAGCAAAGCCCUAAUCUCACCACUGACCCAUGCACUGUUCUUCUUCUCCAAAGAAGAACAUGAACCAAGCCUCAAUUUAGCCUAAAUCCAAGCGAGUGAGUCUCAAAUCUCUCCUCACGCAUUCCUCCUUUUCUACUCAUCACCAUUUCUAACCGUUUCUGACACGGAUAUUCUCAUUCACUUCACUCGCUCGAUUUGGAGAUAAGGCACGCGAUUGGAAGCUUCUAGGAACGAUUUACUGGAUGAGUGUGAGGUGUUGGAUUGAUUUCACUCAAUCCAAGCCCCACAUUCAUUAGGAAUUCGUUCUCAAAAUGGAAUUUUAGAUGCAUUUCUGAGGGAGGUCAGCUAAAAAAAUAUUUCAGAGAAAAGGGGUCGAUUCUAAUCUUCCUUGUUUCUUUUCAUCGAAAAUACAGAAAAUACUCCCAAAAAGUGGGUCUAGUUUCUUUUAUGCUUAAUUCUGUCUGUUUUUGUUAUAAUGAGAGAAAAAAAUACAAAAAAUUCGAUUUCUUUGCAUAUCAUCUCUGGUUUAAUCUCGCUUCUGAUGGAGUUCGUUUAAUAUGGAGUUCGAUUGAAAAUAGUUAAGUUCGUCGCUGUCCGAGCUUCUGAUUCUUACUCAUCUCUACUGUUGGUUGUUGAUAUUUGUUAUUGGAUUUCACUUGUAUUCAACAUUUGAGCAAAGUUAAUUUCAGGUGCUUGUGGAUCCAAGUUCAUUUCUAAUCCUAUGUAGCCUAUUUUUGGUGUUUGAUUAAGAAGCGCAUUGAGAAUUUGAGUUCAGCUGGUUUGGAACUAUGUGAAUCUUGGUGACUGUUGGUCGUAGUGUAUUUGUUGGUCAUUUUUACGGGUAUUUCUAGCUUGGUUUGGCUGUGUACAUCUUAAAUGAGUUCUCUGAAAGUGUCUUCUAUUUGAUUCCUGUCAUGGUAUAAUUAGCUUGUGAUUAAUUUCAGAAUGUGAGCUAUUUUCAGUUUUGCUUCUUAGCUAUGUAUUGAUUGGAUGCUCCACGCAUGAUCUGGUCUUCAUCUAACACAAUGAUGGAUGGCGGAAUUGUUUGACUUUGGUUGGAAUGAUGGAAGAUUGAUUGAGCCUAUGGUUGUUAGAUAAGGUGUUGCAUAUGUUUGUCGAUUGGUGACGAUUGCAAAAUUUCUUGUACAUAUCUAGUUCGAUACGAGUUCAAGAAAUUGUCACCCAAUUAGUUUUGUUUGCUGCUGCUAUGGCUCGAUCAGUUGCACUUAUCAGGACAUGUUAAAAAUGGCAAAGUCUAGUGAUUUAUGUUUGUUAUGAAGGAUCAUCUAAUGUAGACCUCACUUGUUCAAGUGAUGAGCUGAUUUGGGCGGGUUUGACGUUGUUUGGCCUUGAUUUAAAGGCGUGUUGAGGCCGAAUUGUUUCGAUGAUUGUGUAUGCUCAUAGUUUCUCUAUUUUCCCUUUUUUGUCCAUGUUUUGUCUGUCUUGUUACUGCCAUUGUAAUUUUGCUCGUUCGAGUUGCUGAAGAACUCAAUUUCAGCAGUAGAUCGAGCUGAUACGGGUAGUAUAUUGGAACAUUUGUUUGAACUGUUAGACUGUGUACUCAGAUUUUAAGUAUUCUAGACUGUAUUGUUCCAAUUCGAUCAUUAUUAGUUGCGCAUUCCUUUCUUCUGAAGAUGCUAGAGUAUUCACCGUUGGCCAACAUAUGUUUGUGGUUUAGAUGAUUGCUGUAGGAGAUUUUAAUGCUAUGAAGUCUGUGUACAUUCAUUUUAAUACCUUGUCAAAGGGGAUUGUGGACCAUGAUCGUGUCAUCUGUUAGAAUUAGCCAUUGGUUCAGUUAGGAUAAGAAAACCACUCCAAGUUCAUGAUAGUUUCAGCUUGACUGAGCUACUGAUG